GAUGAACGCUGGCGGCGUGCCUAAUACAUGCAAGUCGAGCGAACAGACGAGGAGCUUGCUCCUCUGACGUUAGCGGCGGACGGGUGAGUAACACGUGGAUAACCUACCUAUAAGACUGGGAUAACUUCGGGAAACCGGUGCUAAUACCGGAGAAUAUAUUGAACCGCAUGGUUCAAUAGUGAAAGACGGUUUUGCUGUCUCUUAUAGAUGGAUCCGCGCCGCAUUAGCUAGUUGGUAAGGUAACGGCUUACCAAGGCAACGAUGCGUAGCCGACCUGAGAGGGUGAUCGGCCACACUGGAACUGAGACACGGUCCAGACUCCUACGGGAGGCAGCAGUAGGGAAUCUUCCGCAAUGGGCGAAAGCCUGACGGAGCAACGCCGCGUGAGUGAUGAAGGUCUUCGGAUCGUAAAACUCUGUUAUUAGGAAAGAACAAAUGUGUAAGUAACUAUGCACGUCUUGACGGUACCUAAUCAGAAAGCCACGGCUAACUACGUG
rnacentral:rRNA from 1 species